ACAGUCAGCCUCAGCAAGGACUUAAGACAGAACAUGCUUGUGAAGUCUGCAGGUGGCACCUAGAUGGUAAGAGCUGCAGCCACCAGAGAGGCUAGGAUUAGAAUACACGUUUCUCAGACAUCAGCUAAGCAAUUGACAAAGAGAGCAAAACAAGUGGAAGAGACAAAUGCUAAAGGACAAAAUAAGGAAUGAAGAGCUGGCAGCAAUCCUACAGACAGCCAUCUGGGGUUAUGACAGACCUCAAACCUAAUGAAUUAACAGUGUAAUGCAGUGUUUAACAAGGGAGAAAAAAAAAAAGCCACACAACUCGUUCUGGAACAUAUUGCCAUGAACAUUUUCCACAGAGAUAGGGGAGGUAUUUUUUCUGUUCAGUCAGAGAACUGCAUUCCAGCUGGGGCAGCAGGGUUUCCAGCCGGUCUGUGUCUGUCUGCCAGGGGGCCCAGGAAUGAGCACAUUGGGAGGGGAGAGGGGAACCGUGAUGAUUUAAAGGAGAAGGAAGCAGGGAAUGUAACAGCACAAAACCCAACAGUGUUACACAGGACGUCAGUUAUCUUCAGAGCCAUGUGCAGACAAACACCUGUUUUCUAAAGAUGUGUGUGGAAGACAGCUUGUUAACACACAGCACUGACCCAGGCGAGGUAGAAGCAUUCCAGAACCUCUGCUUUCCGCUUCACGUAGUGGACAGAAAGAAUAGAACAGAACGCAGCAGUUCCUUCCAGCCCUGCUUUCAGACACCUUAAGAGCCAGCUCGGAAGGAAAAGAACACCACAAAUCAACGCGUCCAAACGGUGACGCCGGUUUUACCUGCCAAAACGACUACCGACGCGCACUGCCCGCAGCACGCUGUCGUUAAGCACUGCUUCACCACCUCCACCUUCCAGCCCCGGCGCAAGGGCAGCGAAUGUAAAAGAUGAUGUAGCUGUAGGUUCUUUGGGACACAGCGAUGCCAUCCUGCCCCAUUCACACCAUGAUGCCAACCACAUCUGCUCCACUGUGGAGAAGCUGUGUUCAGUUGCACAACUUGGGUAAGAGGAUGAUUUACUCUUGAAGCACAAACUUCAGUAUUUUAUAGCAAAGAAAUCUGCAAGGAUUCCACCCUUGCAUUUUUGAAGAGUCCAGAACAAUAAACAAGUUCCCCAGACAGAAGCUUCUAGAUGACUGAAUGUUUGAAUUGACAAAGCAUGCACUGUUCAUGAGUGCAAUCCUUCCAUUCCUGGGCUGGAAUACCAAUGUGGCUACGAGACAAAGUCAAGCAGUACAAUAGCAAAUGAAGGGCAGGGAGGCAGUAUGCUGAGCCUGCACUGGUGCACACUGACCUCCAGUGGAACACACUGCACUCUGUGAGUAACUGUCCAUGCACAGGGGCUGGAAAAAGAGACAGUCAGAGACAGAAUUACUUGAGAAUUACUUGGAGGAAGCAUAAGGGAACAGAGACUAUUAGCAAUGUGACCAAAAACACAGCAGUGUGCCUUUGCUUCCCAACUUUAAUAAGCGGUACCAAUUGUUGUCUUAAAUGGACUUUUCAGCUCUUGGAGAAGUCUUCUGAGACGUUACAAGCAGAGAUGAAAUACAGUAUGCCUAAAUGUGCUCAGCAUAGCAUGGUCCUAGCAGCACUGUCUGGGUAAAAGCUUCUUGGAGAACAGUAAAGAAUUGCUGUCAUCUGCACUCCAGAAACCUGUUCAACCAGAACGCACAGUCUCGAGCACCAUCAGACACAAAGAAUUGAUAUGCUAGAAGGUUCCAUCCGGUCUGCCCCAUUGGGAGUUACUGUUUCACAGGGCAUCUUCUCUCGCAGACACGAGUGCUCAAUUUCUACUGUUAGAUGUUAAAGGGCAAGGACGUCACUGUUGCUUCAAGGAAAAGACAGAAGAUUGAGGUGUGGGUGCAGAAUUAUCUAAAACGCAACAAAACAAAGUAUUUGUGCAAGAAUAAUAAUCUGUACAUUUACAUUUUUUCUAAGUUUGCUUCAGUAUAAAAAAAAACCUUUUCAAUCCCACUAACAAAACUUCAUUCUUGUUUAUGAUCCUUCACACACUUGAGAGUUCCAUGCUUUUCUUCAUCCUCAAUGGUACACUAAUAAAUCCAGCCACCAUUUUUGUAGUCCAAGACAAAGACGGGAGCUCUGUUACAUCUGCAGUAGUCUGGGGCAGUUAGACAAGUUUUUUCUGUCUCUACAGGCACGGUGCUUGUUUAACUGGCCUGGGGAAUAACAUAGCCAAGAAUAAGCCAUGUCAUCUUCUCCAGCAGUGCAGAGCACUCUGGCCAUUUUUAUCUACUUAUCUAGAUGGUUGUCACUAGAAUU